CAACAGGCCCUUCUCAGGGCCACAGUAAACAAACUCAGGACACACU
rfam:Opisthocomus hoazin contig76686, whole genome shotgun sequence.